CAGCUUACUUCUUUCUUACCAUUGUAGGUUAUCCUUGGUUUUGUCAAACACAUCACAAGAUGUAAAUCCAUUUCAUCAGAAGAUACAAAUUUUGAACAUACAGGGCACUUGAAUCCUAUGAAAGAUAAAAAUAUGUGCAGCUAAUAGGAAACAAGCCAAAACAGAUAACUGGAGGAACUCCGAACAGCAACUGAACAUAUACACUGGAAACCACUUCCUGGCUUAAAGUUUGGAAACUAUCCAAAGGGACAAGUUGAUGUGUGGCCACCCACUCUAUCCAUACCAACUUCAACCUGUUUUUGUUGAUAUCUUGCUGUGUUUGCCUUGCUUUGCAAACAGCAGAUUGCUUAACUUGCAGUUCAGUUCACAGCAAAGCUAACAAAUAAUAAUAAAAAAACCAACAAAAAUCAAACUCCUGGACUCCAUAUUUUUUGCAAAAACAUUUUGGCACUAAUCCUGCUAUAUAUGUAUUGCGGUGGGG